GAACAUCUUUGAUAUGUCACGAUGAACCACUGUGCUUCAGCCCUUCUCCUGGGUUUACUUGUCAUCCCUGUGACAUGUGAUUUUCCUCCUGGUUCUUGUGAUGGAUACACCAACAUAACUGAACCAUGGCGCAACCGAGACUUUACAUCUACUUCUUUCCCUGGUUUUC